rnacentral:rRNA from 1 species
AUUGAACGCUGGCGGCACGCCUAACACAUGCAAGUCGAGCGGUAACAUGGUUUGUAGCAAUACAAACUGAUGACGAGCGGCGGACGGGUGAGGAACACGUAGGAAUCUGCCCUCAAGCGGGGGAUAACCAAGGGAAACUUUGGCUAAUACCGCAUAAUCUCGAGAGAGAAAAGCUGCCCGCAAGGGUGGCACUUGAGGAGGAGCCUGCGUCCGAUUAGCUAGUUGGAGAGGUAAAAGCUCACCAAGGCAAUGAUCGGUAACUGGUCUGAGAGGACGGCCAGUCACACUGGGACUGAGACACGGCCCAGACUCCUACGGGAGGCAGCAGUGGGGAAUAUUGGACAAUGGGGGCAACCCUGAUCCAGCGAUGCCGCGCGAGUGAAGAAGGCCCUCGGGUCGUAAAGCUCUUUAGGUUGGGAAGAAGGGUAUAGGCUGAAUAAUCCCGUACUUUGACUGUACCGACAGAAUAAGCACCGGCAAACUCUGUGCCAGCCGCCGCCGUAA